CUGGGUGAGCCGGGCACCGUUCCACACCGGCCGCUGUCGCCGCGCUCCCGCCCACAGCCGCACUUAACUUCCACUGUCGCCGCCGCUCCGGGGACAGAGACGCCGCCUCUAGUCGCCGACAGCUUCGGUUGGGCAGCGGCGUGAGGGACUCGCCGCGGCGUGCCGUCUGUCCCCCGGGCCUUUGUGCGGCCGGCCGAGCUCCCGCGUGUCCCCCGCUGGUCAGGGGCCGGGCACCCCCUCGACGGCCGCCCCCGCGCCCCGAGGAGACGGCGUCCUGAGGCACCUGCCGAGCUCCCGCCGGCCGAGCGGAGCGGGGCUUCGGCGGCGCUGCCGGCAGCGGGCGUCCCCGCAGGGAAGCCAGCUGGUUUGUGGCGGCAUCCAGACAAUGAGGACAUUCGGCCAAGCCCCACUGCGUGGUCAGCUGAAGAAUGAACACUGGAGAAACAGGAGACCUACAGAGACACUGUUCAUAUCAGAGGCUGAUUUGUUUAAAUAGAGGAAGGCACUCCCAGAAGAACUUCUACUAUAUAUCUGAGAGAAAGAAGACCAGAGAAGUCACAAGACACCCAUGGAGAAGCUAAUCCUGAGAGCAAUAAUAUGGGAACACCUGGACUCCUGACUCUGGGCCAGGACUGUGCUCUGCACUUCCCCACACAGCUUACUCAACCCCUCCUUCCCUUGAUUCUUGAAGAUUUGCAUCUUUAUCAAUUUUUAUUGCCCUGAAGCCAAGAAUUCAUAGAUAAGCAUCCUUUAUCCUCCCAUUAAAAACCAAUCUUCUAUCUGCACUUACUGGUUGCUGUGGUCUGAAUGUUUAUGUCCCCCCAAAUUCAUUAUGCUGAAAUUCUGACCCCCAAAGAUGAUGGUAUUAGGAGGUGGGACUUGUGGGAGGUGAUUAGCUCCUGAGGGUGGAGCCCUCAUGAAUGGGAUUAGUGCCCUUAUAAAAGAGACCCCCACAGAGAUCCCUAGCCCCUUCCACCACGUGAGGACACAGUGAGAGUAGGCUGGCUGUGAACUAGGAAG